rnacentral:piRNA from 1 species
UCCAGCCUAUUGUUUUCCUAUCUGAAGAG